rnacentral:rRNA from 1 species
CCUACGGGCGGCAGCAGUGGGGAAUAUUGGACAAUGGGGGGAACCCUGAUCCAGCCAUGCCGCGUGUGUGAAGAAGGCCCUCGGGUUGUAAAGCACUUUCAGUGAGGAAGAACGCCUGGUGGUUAAUACCCAUCAGGAAAGACAUCACUCACAGAAGAAGCACCGGCUAACUCCGUGCCAGCAGCCGCGGUAAUACGGAGGGUGCGAGCGUUAAUCGGAAUUACUGGGCGUAAAGCGCGCGUAGGUGGCUUGAUAAGCCGGUUGUGAAAGCCCCGGGCUCAACCUGGGAACGGCAUCCGGAACUGUCAAGCUAGAGUGCAGGAGAGGAAGGUAGAAUUCCCGGUGUAGCGGUGAAAUGCGUAGAGAUCGGGAGGAAUACCAGUGGCGAAGGAGGCCUUCUGGACUGACACUGACACUGAGGUGCGAAAGCGUGGGUAGCAAACAGGAUUAGAUACCCCUGUAGUC